rnacentral:rRNA from 1 species
UACGUAGGGGGCGAGCGUUGUCCGGAAUCAUUGGGCGUAAAGCGCGUGUAGGCGGCUCGAUAAGUCCGGUGUGAAACCUUGGGGCUCAACCCCAAGCCUGCACUGGAUACUGCCGAGCUAGAGUCCGGGAGGGGAGAGCGGAAUUCCUAGUGUAGCGGUGAAAUGCGUAGAGAUGCGGAGGAACACCGAUGGCGAAGGCAGCCCCUGGGCCAAUACUGACGCUCAGGCACGAAAGCGUGGGGAGCAAACAGG